UACGGGAGUGGCAAGCGUUAUCCGGAAUUAUUGGCCGUAAAGCGUCCGCAGGCGGACUGUCAAGUCUGCUGUUAAAGCGUGGAGCUUAACUCCAUUAAGGCAGUGGAAACUGACAGACUAGAGUGUGGUAGGGGCAGAGGGAAUUCCCGGUGUAGCGGUGAAAUGCGUACAUAUCGGGAAGAACACCAGUGACGAAGGCGCUCUGCUGGCCCAUAACUGACGCUCAUGGACGAAAGCCAGGGGAGCGAAAGGGAUUAGAUACCCCUGUAGUCCUGGCCGUAAACGAUGAACACUAGGUGUCGGGGGAAUCGACCCCCUCGGUGUCGUAGCCAACGCGUUAAGUGUUCCGCCUGGGGAGUACGCACGCAAGUGUGAAACUCAAAGGAAUUGACGGGGGCCCGCACAAGCGGUGGAGUAUGUGGUUUAAUUCGAUGCAACGCGAAGAACCUUACCAGGGUUUGACAUCCUGCGAAUCUCUUGGAAACGAGAGAGUGCCUUCGGGAACGCAGUGACAGGUGGUGCAUGGCUGUCGUCAGCUCGUGUCGUGAGAUGUUGGGUUAAGUCCCGCAACGAGCGCAACCCACGUCGUUAGUUGCCAGCAUUUAGUUGGGCGCUCUAGCGAGACCGCCGGUGAUAAACCGGAGGAAGGUGUGGAGGACGUCAAGUCCUCAUGCCCCUUACAUCCUGGGCUACCCACGUACUACAAUGCUACGGACAAAGGGCAGCAAACUCGCGAGAGCUAGCAAAUCCCAUAAACCGUGGCUCAGUUCAGAUCGUAGGCUGCAACUCGCCUACGAGAAGGAGGAAUCGCUAGUAAUAGCAGGUCAGCAUACUGCGGAGAAUACGUUCCCG
rnacentral:rRNA from 1 species